GAUGAAGAACGUAGCGAAAUGCGAUAAGUAAUGUGAAUUGCAGAACUCAGUGAAUCAUCGAAUCUUUGAACGCACAUUGCGCCCCCUGGCCUUCCGGGGGGCAUGCCUGUUCGAGCGUCAUUUGUACCUUCAAGCUUUGCUUGGUGUUGGGUGUUUGUCUCGCCUUUGCGUGUAGACUCGCCUUAAAAUAAUUGGCAGCCGGCGUAUUGAUUUCGGAGCGCAGUACAUCUCGCGCUUUGCACUCAUAACGACAGCGUCCAAAAGUACAUUUUACACUCUUGACCUCGGAUCAGGUAGGGAUACCCGCUGAACUUAAGCAUAUCAAUAAGCGGAGGA
rnacentral:misc_RNA from 1 species